rnacentral:rRNA from 1 species
GCGUUGUCCGGAUUUAUUGGGCGUAAAGAGCUCGUAGGCGGCUUGGCAAGUCGGGUGUGAAAACCUCAGGCUCAACCUGGGGCUGCCACUCGAUACUGCUAUGGCUUGAGUCUGGUAGGGGAUCACGGAAUUCCUGGUGUAGCGGUGAAAUGCGCAGAUAUCAGGAGGAACACCGGUGGCGAAGGCGGUGAUCUGGGCCAGUACUGACGCUGAGGAGCGAAAGCGU